rnacentral:rRNA from 1 species
CUAAACCAUGCACCGAAGCUGCGGCAGCGACGCUUAUGCGUUGUUGGGUAGGGGAGCGUUCUGUAAGCCUGCGAAGGUGGCCUGUGAGGGUUGCUGGAGGUAUCAGAAGUGCGAAUGCUGACAUAAGUAACGAUAAAGCGGGUGAAAAGCCCGCUCGCCGGAAGACCAAGGGUUCCUGUCCAACGUUAAUCGGGGCAGGGUGAGUCGACCCCUAAGGCGAGGCCGAAAGGCGUAGUCGAUGGGAAACGGGUUAAUAUUCCCGUACUUGGUGUUACUGCGAAGGGGGGACGGAGAAGGCUAUGUUGGCCGGGCGACGGUUGUCCCGGUUUAAGCGUGUAGGUGUGUGUUCCAGGUAAAUCCGGUUCACUUUAACACUGAGGCGUGACGACGAGGCACUACGGUGCUGAAGCAACAAAUGCCCUGCUUCCAGGAAAAGCCUCUAAGCAUCAGGUAACAUCAAAUCGUACCCCAAACCGACACAGGUGGUCAGGUAGAGAAUACCAAGGCGCUUGAGAGAACUCGGGUGAAGGAACUAGGCAAAAUGGUGCCGUAACUUCGGGAGAAGGCACGCUGACACGUAGGUGAAGUGAUUUACUCAUGGAGCUGAAGUCAGUCGAAGAUACCAGCUGGCUGCAACUGUUUAUUAAAAACACAGCACUGUGCAAACACGAAAGUGGACGUAUACGGUGUGACGCCUGCCCGGUGCCGGAAGGUUAAUUGAUGGGGUCAGCGCAAGCGAAGCUCCUGAUCGAAGCCCCGGUAAACGGCGGCCGUAACUAUAACGGUCCUAAGGUAGCGAAAUUCCUUGUCGGGUAAGUUCCGACCUGCACGAAUGGCGUAAUGAUGGCCAGGCUGUCUCCACCCGAGACUCAGUGAAAUUGAACUCGCUGUGAAGAUGCAGUGUACCCGCGGCAAGACGGAAAGACCCCGUGAACCUUUACUAUAGCUUGACACUGAACAUUGAGCCUUGAUGUGUAGGAUAGGUGGGAGGCUUUGAAGUGUGGACGCCAGUCUGCAUGGAGCCGACCUUGAAAUACCACCCUUUAAUGUUUGAUGUUCUAACGUGGACCCGUUACCCGGGUUGCGGACAGUGUCUGGUGGGUAGUUUGACUGGGGCGGUCUCCUCCUAAAGAGUAACGGAGGAGCACGAAGGUUGGCUAAUCCUGGUCGGACAUCAGGAGGUUAGUGCAAUGGCAUAAGCCAGCUUGACUGCGAGCGUGACGGCGCGAGCAGGUGCGAAAGCAGGUCAUAGUGAUCCGGUGGUUCUGAAUGGAAGGGCCAUCGCUCAACGGAUAAAAGGUACUCCGGGGAUAACAGGCUGAUACCGCCCAAGAGUUCAUAUCGACGGCGGUGUUUGGCACCUCGAUGUCGGCUCAUCACAUCCUGGGGCUGAAGUAGGUCCCAAGGGUAUGGCUGUUCGCCAUUUAAAGUGGUACGCGAGCUGGGUUUAGAACGUCGUGAGACAGUUCGGUCCCUAUCUGCCGUGGGCGCUGGAGAACUGAGGGGGGCUGCUCCUAGUACGAGAGGACCGGAGUGGACGCAUCACUGGUGUUCGGGUUGUCAUGCCAAUGGCACUGCCCGGUAGCUAAAUGCGGAAGAGAUAAGUGCUGAAAGCAUCUAAGCACGAAACUUGCCCCGAGAUGAGUUCUCCCUGAGACUUAAAGUCUCCUGAAGGAACGUUGAAGACGACGACGUUGAUAGGCCGGGUGUGUAAGCGCAGCGAUGCGUUGAGCUAACCGGUACUAAUGAACCGUGAGGCUUAACC